GAGUUGCAAACAUACAAGGACAUAGACAGACAUCAAAACCACCAAACAAGCAGAGCUAGGGGUACAAGAGCCCUUUCUGUGUCCACAUCAAUGCACCUAAGGAAACUAUAGCUACUGAAUGAACUAAUUCAUUAUGAAUGGUAAAUAAUGAUGGAAUGAAACUGUUUGAAGACAACUUUAAUUGGACUUAACACCAACUGUGUCUGCCAAACACCACUCACAGUAUCGGCUUCAUCAACUAAAUAUCAUGAGUACCCUGCCUGCAUCAGCAAACGGAGGUCUUUAUACAGUGAGCAAACUGAGGACUUUAUACAGUGAAGAACAGUAAAGUUAUCACAGACGGAACUGACUGUAGGAGAAGAGUUGAAAUCAAACUGAAAACCACGAAGCUACAUGUGAUGAAGAGGCUGUCAUUAGCAGGAAUACAUUGUGAGGGGAGAGGUAAAUGAAGAAAAAAGGGAAACACGGUGGAGUUCCCCAGAAGCCAUCUUUGACUCCUUCUCUGGCUGUCAUCACACAGAUGUCAACUGUGGAUAAAGAUAGCUCUAGAAAGAAACUGAUGGAGGAACUGCUACUUAGCAAGACUAGGGGAAAGAAUUUAGGGAAAUCAAACACUUCAUGGAUGAAGGAACAGAGGACAAGGUAUUAACUGUUCCCAGCAAAACUCAGUUACCCACAAGAAGAAAUGGUAUAUUUUCUGAAUUCAGACUGCUAAUUGUUUGCCUUAUUAAAAUAAGAGAUCUGAUCAGGAGACCAUUGGUAGAGACUUCUGAUGACUAAAUUCUUGUUAAAACUGGGUUGCGCCAUUGCCAGCAAGACUUCUCCCUCCUUUAAUACAUGGUAUGUUUAAACUGGUAGAAAGAUGUGUUUGAUAUUUUAAUAGAUUUAUUAGAAUUCCCUUUUUUUGCAUAAAUGUAACAUUUUAUAGUCAUUUCUCAAAGAGAUGGGCUACUGAUAAGUUUGGGGCAGCACGUCCCCCUGCCGCCUCUCAGAAGCAUAGAUGGACUUUUGUAUUCCAUUGUUUAACCUGAAUGCCACUACUGCAGUUAAAUUGAAGCAGCUGUGUGGUGUUAAGAUGCUGAGUUAUUUGGGUUUGUAUCUGUAUCUACUUUAUUCUUUUUUCUACAUAUUCAUAUUUUUGGGAGCACUGACAAUUUGGUGCUUUUGGAAUGCUUUCACCCCCACAGCGUUUCCUUUGUUACCACUGAAGUUUGUUGCUAGUGUGCUGUGCUUCUGCAGAAAUCAGCCAUGUUGAUAUGUUUGUUUAGUGUAGUAUGAAAAUAGUAAAUAAAAAGGAAUUAUAAAAAACUCUAAAGAUAUCUUAUUCCAUUAGAAUAUGCAUUAUAUAUUUGUUUCUUCUUUGAUGAAAUGAGAAUGCAUUAUUUAUAUAAUAAUUUGCCAGUCUUAUUAAUUGUUCUUGGUGUAGCAUACACUGGUUUUUGCAUCAAUGAAUGCAAAGAACAUAUGUGAAUGAAAUAUAAAAUAAAAAUGUGUAACUGAAUGAGACCAUUUUACUCUAACAGAAUUGCAAUUUACAAACUUACCAAUAAUUAAGGUGUAGCACUGAUCUGCCAGUUGCCAAUAAAGUUACUUAUCUAUUACUAAAUUAAAAACACAGCAUUAAUUUUAUUUAAAGUCACUGCAAUUCAUUUCUCCAAAUUCUACUGAAAACUCUGAGUUGAAACACUCAUCACCUUUUCUGUCAAAUGCUAACAAUAGUUCAUAAUUGGCUUACUUCACUAACCUCACGAAGGUCUUUGUCAGCAGGAAAGGUUAUCAGAGGAAUUUGCACAAUACCUUCCCCAUUACCUUAUUUAGUAAAUAAAUUUGAGAAGUGUUUGUAUAUGGAUUAUGUGAGACUAGUGCUUCUAUUCCUAGCUGCGCAAAGCCCUUCCAGUCCUCUUUUUCGCAAAGAGCCAAAGAGGAAGGGAAAAUAACCUAUCGUAUCAAUUAAUGUGGACUGCUUCCAGGUAAUCUAAACCAUCCUCAUGAAGCAACUUACUUUUUUAAAUUGGAAAGGAAAUUGGAAAGGCAAAAUUUCUCUCUCUAGCUCUAAGUAUGUUGCAAUAUAACACAUCUAUUCAGACUGCUAAUUUGCACUGCUUGAAAUAGAUAUUUUAUUAACAAAAUAAAUAUCCCAAACUGUAUCUUCCCCAGAUUAUUUGAAAUUUUAUUCCUCACAAAAAUAAACAGGUUUACUGAAUUAUAAGGAAUAUUCCAGGAUGGAUACCUUUUGCUCAGCUUUUACUCCAACAGCUACAGUGAAAGUCUCUGAUUUAAAGCACAUUUUAUUGUCCAAGGGGACACUAAAUAAUAUACAAUUAAGAUUUAUUAUGUUGCUUUUGCAUACUUGGUAUAACAUCCAUUUAUGUAAUAUAUUAAUAGUUACAUAAAAUAACAUUAAACAAUUUUUUACUUCAAUUUUCAUCUCAAAUAUUUUUCUUUUAAAAUAUGCUAUAACAAUAGAAUCAGGAAAUCAACCCUUUUCUAAUCUGCACCAUGUAUAAAAGGCUAAAUUCACUUCCAAGUGGAUGUGAAAAACUAUACUUUAAACUAAACAUCAAUCUCAGAAUUAGCAUGCAAAUCAAAAAUAUAUAUUGUAAUGUAGAUGGGUCUUCAAUGAAUAGUAGAUUUAAAUCUGCUAAUUUUAUGAGUCAAAUUAUAUUGCUAACCCAAGCACAAAUAAUAUAUCUGAAAUUCAUGUUGACCCUCAAACUAUGUUCAUGCUUAAAAUCAUUAUGGCAGGAAAAAUGUGGAAGGCAAGAAUAACACUGCUAUAAGUAUUUGUAUUAAAAAAAAGGCUACUCCAUAUGUCAUUCAAAGCCUAGCAGCUUUGGUUGAAAUCACAAUUCCUUUUGGUGACAUCCAUAUGGAAUAGAAAGUUUUAAUAUUACUCUUUGCUAAAAGUCAUGAUCUAAUUUCCUGUAUGUUACUAUCUGAAAUAAUUGUCAACUCUAUUUACUGCUUUAUUUCAAAAUAAAAAUGAUUGUUAUAGGUGAGUUACAUUGAUGAAAUCCCUUCACCUUUGUUCCUGAUGUAAAGGAAUCUGUAUUGGCUGCAUCACAUCAUUUAUA